AGCGAACGCUGGCGGCAGGCUUAACACAUGCAAGUCGAACGGGCCUCCUCGGACGUUAGUGGCAGACGGGUGAGUAACACGUGGGAACGUGCCCUUCGGUUCGGAAUAACUCAGGGAAACUUGAGCUAAUACCGGAUACGCCCUUUUGGGGAAAGGUUUACUGCCGAAGGAUCGGCCCGCGUCUGAUUUGCUUGUUGGUGGGGUAACGGCCUACCAAGGCGACGAUCAGUAGCUGGUCUGAGAGGAUGAUCAGCCACACUGGGACUGAGACACGGCCCAGACUCCUACGGAAGGCAGCAGUGGGGAAUAUUGGACAAUGGGCGCAAGCCUGAUCCAGCCAUGCCGCGUGAGUGAGGAAGGCCUUAGGGUUGUAAAGCUCUUUUGUCCGGGACGAUAAUGACGGUACCGGAAGAAUAAGCCCCGGCUAACUUCGUG
rnacentral:rRNA from 1 species